GACGAACGCUGGCGGCGUGCUUAACACAUGCAAGUCGAACGGAAAGGCCCUGCUUGCAGGGUACUCGAGUGGCGAACGGGUGAGUAACACGUGGGUGAUCUGCCCUGCACUUCGGGAUAAGCCUGGGAAACUGGGUCUAAUACCGGAUAGGAACCAUCUUUAGUGUGGUGGUUGGAAAGUUUUUUCGGUGUAGGAUGAGCUCGCGGCCUAUCAGCUUGUUGGUGGGGUAAUGGCCUACCAAGGCGGCGACGGGUAGCCGGCCUGAGAGGGUGUACGGCCACAUUUGGGCUGGGAUACGGGCCAGACUCCUACGGGAGGGAGGAGGGGGGAAUAUUGGACAAUGGGGGGAAGCCUGAUGGCGCGACGGCGCGUGGGGGGUGAAGGCCUUUGGGUUGUAAACUCCUUUCGCUAGGGAAGAAGCUUUGUUGUGACGGUACCUAGAUAAGAAGCACCGGCUAACUACGUG
rnacentral:rRNA from 1 species